CGCCAAAGUUCUCAAGCAGAUCAGUGAUGAGGUCAUCGAUAUGGGGGCAGGAUCAGGGCAGGCUAGGGCAGGCUGGAAACUCUGGCCUGGAAUCAACCUGCACACAGACAUGUACAAGAACACAAUACAGUACACAAUUUCACGGGUUGUAACAGGUCCAAGUUUAAGGAUUUGAAGGACAGAAAGCUGGAGGAACAGCAGCAGAAGAUCAAUAGGAAGAUCGAAGCUCCAAAAGAAGUGAAAUAUGAAGACUUUUCUUUUCCUAACGAUCUGGGCUCCAAUAAUAGCAAUUACUACUACCUGCAGGCUGUCCCGACGCAUCAGGGC